rnacentral:tRNA from 1 species
GCCUCCUUAGCUCAGUCGGUAGAGCAGCUCAUUCGUAAUGAGCAGGUCGUGGGUUCGAGUCCCAUUGGAGGCUCCA